rnacentral:rRNA from 1 species
UUGGUGACCAGCGGAGGGAUCAUUACCGAGUUUACAACUCCCAAACCCAAUGUGAACGUUACCAAACUGUUGCCUCGGCGGGGUCACGCCCCGGGUGCGUCGCAGCCCCGGAACCAGGCGCCCGCCGGAGGAACCAACCAAACUCUUUCUGUAGUCCCCUCGCGGACGUAUUUCUUUACAGCUCUGAGCAAAAAUUCAAAAUGAAUCAAAACUUUCAACAACGGAUCUCUUGGUUCUGGCAUCGAUGAAGAACGCAGCGAAAUGCGAUAAGUAAUGUGAAUUGCAGAAUUCAGUGAAUCAUCGAAUCUUUGAACGCACAUUGCGCCCGCCAGUAUUCUGGCGGGCAUGCCUGUCCGAGCGUCAUUUCAACCCUCGAACCCCUCCGGGGGAUCGGCGUUGGGGAUCGGGACCCCUCACACGGGUGCCGGCCCCUAAAUACAGUGGCGGUCUCGCCGCAGCCUCUCCUGCGCAGUAGUUUGCACAACUCGCACCGGGAGCGCGGCGCGUCCACGUCCGUAAAACACCCAACUUUCUGAAAUGUUGACCUCGGAUCAGGUAGGAAUACCCGCUGAACUUAAGCAUAUCAAUAAGCCGGAG